UACGUAGGGUGCAAGCGUUAAUCGGAAUUACUGGGCGUAAAGCGCGCGCAGGCGGUCAUUUAAGUCUGGUGUAUAAACCAAGGGCUCAACCUUUGGACGCAUUGGAAACUGGGUGACUGGAGUGUAGGAGAGGAAAGUGGAAUUCAUACGUGUAGCGGUGAAAUGCGUAGAUAUCUGGAGGAACACCGGUGGCGAAGGCGGCAUCCUGGACCGGCAUUGAUGCUGAGGCGCGAAAGCCAGGGGAGCAAACGGG
rnacentral:rRNA from 1 species